AAGGAUCAGGAGUAAAACUGCCAUGUGAAACUGAGAACGCAUCCGUGAACGAUUCUGCUGGAUCCAAACAGAACCAGAUACACCGUGCAGUACUCCGCAACAUUGCCAACUCUC